rnacentral:rRNA from 1 species
UGGGGGAUAUUGCACAAUGGGCGAAAGCCUGAUGCAGCGACGCCGCGUGGGGGAUGAAGGCCUUCGGGUUGUAAACUUCUUUUGCUCUGAACAAGGCAUGCUAAUGGGUGUGUUGAGUGUAGGGGUUGAUUAGCGCCGGCUAACUACGUGCCAGCAGCCGCGGUAAUACGUAGGGCGCGAGCGUUGUCCGGAAUUAUUGGGGGUAAAGGGCUUGUAGGUGGCUGGUUGCGUCUGUCGUGAAAGCUCAUGGCUUAACUGUGGGUUUGCGGUGGGUACGGGCUGGCUUGAGUGCAGUAGGGGAGGCUGGAAUUCCUGGUGUAGCGGUGGAAUGCGCAGAUAUCAGGAGGAAUACCGGUGGCGAAGGCGGGUCUCUGGGCUGUUACUGACACUGAGGAGCGAAAGCAUGGGGAGCGAACAGG